ACCGGGCCGGCGGCGCGGCAGUUGAGCCUCUCGCCGCGGCCGGCCGGGGCGCCCGAGUCUCGCCGAGCUCUGGUCCCCAACCCUCGGGAAGGACAUGCGACAGCCGCGGUCUGGACCGCGGAGUCCCGACUCUGGGCGGCGACCCAGACCGUGGCCUUCCGCCCACCUUCCUGGCGCCCCCUGCCGGCGGUAGCGGGCUCGGCAGCGGGGCGCGCCCGGGGCUCCUCGAGCUGAACCUGCCGGAGAGCUCAGGACCCCGCGACCCGCCGCGCUGGGGGGCUGCGCUCACCCCGUCCCUUCCGAGACCCUCACUCCCGGAGCAGCCGGGGGCAAUGUGGUGUAGUGGUUAUCAACAGGGUCUCGGGACCUGCCCUGCUGGGUCACUUAACUAUCACCUUGUGCAGGUGUUCUGUCGCUCAAAACGGAGACAUUUUCCAACCCGGGCUUAUAAAACUCCAGCCACAGAAUAAUCUGGUCUCAAAAAUGUGCACUUCAGGGGCCGGGGAUUUAGCUCAGCGAUACAGCGUCUGCCUGGCAAGCGCGAGGUCCUGAGUUUGAUCCCCGGUACCCGCCCCCCCUCCAAGUGCACUUCAGACCCUUGGAGACACCCGAGUCUUCACACCCUGGGAUGGGAGUGGGAGCCUCACCUGGAAUUUUCCUCUGAGCUUCAGAUGAAUUUAACACUCUUGAAGAGCUUCCCUAUGCAUUUUAGUGGAUUCCUCAGUAGUUGUGGCUCGCUUGCUUGCUUGCUUUCUCUUUCUUUGUAACAAGAAUAAACUGAGAGUCAAAGAACCACCUCCUCUUCAAGAUGGACAACAGAUCUCCUGACGCCACCUCAUCUUGCAAGCAGGAUCCACCCAGGAUCCACCCAGGUCAUCUCCCCCAAACAACAGCUACCCUUUGGCAAACACUGCAGGGGACUACGUGGGUACUACAGAUAGACCAUCUUGACUACACAACCCCGUAUCAUUCCCAUUUUAUCCAGGAGGGAGCUGAGGUACAGAGAGACUUAGUGAAUUAUCCAAAGUCACACAGACUUGGAAUGAAAUCCAAGCUCCAGACUCAGAGCUCUGCCUUCUGCUGGCAACAGAACAUUCAGAGUGCAGGAUCUGAGGUAGCCAGUCUAUAACUGCAGACACCUGUUCAGACAGUCGCGCUAAUUGCUAUUCCUCCGGAGCUGUUUCCUUGAGAUGUGUUCCCAAGAGUGAGAUCAGCAGGCACAGGGCACAGGAAUGCAUCAUCUUGUCUGGCCAGGUGUCCUCAGGACCCCCAUGCUGAGUCACAUGCCCACAGCACUGAGUUCCUGUUUCCCUACAGACCAGCUUGGACCGCAUCAGUUUAACUGAUUUUGGCUGAAUUUGUUGGCAGUCAGGAAAGUAAAGACAUCUGUGAAGACCUACCCCAGUUGAAAAAGGUGCCUGUGCCCUGACUAUCAUAAGCAGGCAGAAACUCACUGGACAACCGACCCUCCGUUUCAGUGAAGGGCUUGCUGCACAAGGAGAGGGUGCAUGCUGCCACAUGUAUUUAAUGCAAAGCCAACAUCCUGUCCAUCAAACUUCAGACCACAGACACUGCCUGCCUUCACUCAGAAGUCAGAGGGCUUUGCAGGAUGACUUUGAAGACCAAGGCUUUUACAAAAGAUACCCAAGAUGGAAAUUCCCCCACACCCCUAGAAAAUUCCCCUACAGCAAAUAGUUCCAUUGACCUUAGAGGUGACUUCAGUGCUUUCUUCAGAGUUGAAAGCUGUUUAAAAAUAAAAGUUGUGAAAAUAAAUAAA